CAGUCGGACCCUCUGCUACUCCCUCGGGGAGACAGUCGGACCCUCUGCUACUCCCUCGGGGAGACAGUCGGACCCUCUGCUACUCCCUCGGGGAGACAGUCGGACCCUCUGCUACUCCCUCGGGGAGACAGUCGGACCCUCUGCUACUCCCUCGGGGAGACAGUCGGACCCUCUGCUACUCCCUCGGGGAGACAGUCGGACCCUCUGCUACUCCCUCGGGAGACAGUCGGACCCUCUGCUACUCCCUCGGGGAGACAGUCGGACCCUCUGCUACUCCCUCGGAGACAGUCGGACCCUCUGCUACUCCCUCGGAGACAGUCGGACCCUCUGCUACUCCCUCGGAGACAGUCGGACCCUCUGCUACUCCCUCAGCGUGGUAAAGUAACCUUGUUAAAAGGUAGAGGUUCUCUCAGGGCUGUGGAAGGUAAUCAGAUAGUUGAAGUCUGGAGGGAGUCUGACUGUUUGGGACGGUAGUCUGGAGGGACUGUUUGGGACGGUAGUCUGGAGGGACUGUUUGGGACGGUAGUCUGGAGGGACUGUUUGGGACGGUAGUCUGGAGGGACUGUUUGGGACGGUAGUCUGGAGGGACUGUUUGGGACGGUAGUCUGGAGGGACUGUUUGGGACGGUAGUCUGGAGGGACUGUUUGGGACGGUAGUCUGGAGGGAGUCGGACUGUUUGGGACGGUAGUCUGGAGGGACUGUUUGGGACGGUAGUCUGGAGGGACUGUUUGGGACGGUAGUCUGGAUGGAGUCGGACUGUUUGGGAUGGUAUAUAGUAGUGGGGAGGGGCACUCUGCCGGUUCUCUUGUUUCUCUUCUGUCUCUCUCUCAACCAGUCUGUAAACCCACAACCAGUCUGUAAACCCACAACAUAUAAAACCAGAAUAUUUCUGUUUGCCCCAAUUUUGAUUAAACAGCUUUGGUCCAUUUUUGGUCUAUUUGUCCUCCAUACUGCUGUCCCCUACCCUAGUGUUAGAGGAGGUCCUAGUCUGUCCCCUACCCUAGUGUUAGAGGAGGUCCUAGUCUGUCCCCUACCCUAGUGUUAGAGGAGGUCCUAGUCUGUCUCCUACCCUAGUGUUAGAGGAGGUCCUAGUCUGUCUCCUACCCUAGUGUUAGAGGAGGUCCUAGUCUGUCUCCACCAUACUGCUGUCCCCUACCCUAGUGUUAGAGGAGGUCCUCGUCUGUCCCCUACCCUAGUGUUAGAGGAGGUCCUAGUCUGUCCCCUACCCUAGUGUUAGAGGAGGUCCUAGUCUGUCUCCUACCCUAGUGUUAGAGGAGGUCCUAGUCUGUCUCCACCAUACUGCUGUCCCCUACCCUAGUGUUAGAGGAGGUCCUAGUCUGUCUCCUACCCUAGUGUUAGAGGAGGUCCUAGUCUGUCUCCUACCCUAGUGUUAGAGGAGGUCCUAGUCUGUCCCCUACCCUAGUGUUAGAGGAGGUCCUAGUCUGUCCCCUACCCUAGUGUUAGAGGAGGUCCUAGUCUGUCCCCUACCCUAGUGUUAGAGGAGGUCCUAGUCUGUCCCCUACCCUAGUGUUAGAGGAGGUCCUAGUCUGUCCCCUACCCUAGUGUUAGAGGAGGUCCUAGUCUGUCCCCUACCCUAGUGUUAGAGGAGGUCCUAGUCUGUCCCCUACCCUAGUGUUAGAGGAGGUCCUAGUCUGUCCCCUACCCUAGUGUUAGAGGAGGUCCUAGUCUGUCCCCUACCCUAGUGUUAGAGGAGGUCCUAGUCUGUCCCCUACCCUAGUGUUAGAGGAGGUCCUAGUCUCCACCAUACUGCUGUCCCCUACCCUAGUGGAGUGGCUUCUGUGCAGGGAUGGUUAUCCUUCUGGAAGGUCCUCCCAUCUCCACAGACGAACUCUGGAGUUCUUUCAGAGUGACCAUUGGGUUCUUGGUCACCUCCCUGACCAAGGUCCUUCUCCCCCGAUUGCUCAGUUGGCCGGGCGGCCAGCUCUAGGAAGAGUCUUGGUGGUUCCAAACUUCUUCCAUUUCAGAAUGAUGGAGGCCACUGUGUUCUUGGGGACCAUCAAUACGGCAGAAAUGUUUUGGUUCCUUCCCCAGAUCUGUGCCUCAAGACUAUCCUGUCUCGGAGCUCUACGGACAAUUCAUUCAACCUCAUGGCUUGGUUUUUUCUCUGACAUACUCUGUGGGACCUUAUAUAGACAGGUGUGUGCCUUUCCAAAUCAUGUCAAAUCAAUUGAAUUUAUCACAGGUGGACUCCAAUCAAGUUGUAGAAACAUCUCAAGGAUGAUCAGUGGAAACAGGAAGCACCUGACCUCAAUUUUGAGUCUCAAACAAAGGGUCUGAAUAUUUACGUACAUUUUUUUUAAUGGACGUAACACAACAGAAGGGGGACCUUUUUAGAUGUAACACAACAGAAGGGGGGACCUGUAUAGACAUAACACAACAGAAGGGGGGACCUUAAUGGACGUAACACACCAGAAGGGGGACCUUUUUAGAUGUAACACAACAGAAGGGGGACCUUUAUAGACGUAACACAACAGAAGGGGGACCUUUUUAGAUGUAACACAACAGAAGGGGGGACCUUUGUAGACGUAACACACCAGAGGGGGGGACCUUUAUAGACGUAACACACCAGAAGGGGGGACCUUAAUGGACGUAACACAACAGAAGGGGGGAC